rnacentral:rRNA from 1 species
AACGCACCUUGCGCUCCUUGGUAUUCCGAGGAGCAUGCCUGUUUGAGUGUCAUGGAAUCAUCAACUCUUUUCCUUCUUUGUUGAAGGGAUUGAGCUUGGACUUGGAGGUUUUAUGCCGGCCUUUGUGGGUCGGCUCCUCUUGAAUGCAUUAGCUUGAACCUUUGCUGUAUCAGCUGUUCGGUGUGAUAAUUGUCUACGCCGUCACUGUGAAGCAUUACAUUUUUGUGGGGUUCAGCUUCUAACCGUCCUGUAAAAGGGACAACAUCAUAAUUGACCUCUGACCUCAAAUCAGGUAGGAUUACCCGCUGAACUUAA